rnacentral:rRNA from 1 species
UACGGAGGAUGCAAGCGUUAUCCGGAAUGAUUGGGCGUAAAGCGUCCGCAGGUGGUUGUGUGUGUCUAUUGUCAAAGCAUCAUGCUUAACAUGAUAAAGGCAGUAGAAACUACACGACUAGAGUGCGUUCGGGGCAGAGGGAAUUCCUGGUGUAGCGGUGAAAUGCGUAGAGAUCAGGAAGAACACCGGUGGCGAAAGCGCUCUGCUAGGCCGCAACUGACACUGAGGGACGAAAGCUAGGGGAGCAAACCGG